rnacentral:misc_RNA from 1 species
UACGUAGGUGGCAAGCGUUGUCCGGAAUUAUUGGGCGUAAAGAGAACGUAGGCGGCUACUUAAGUUUGAUCUUAAAGACUGGGGCUCAACUCCAGGAGUGGAUCGAAUACUGGGUGGCUAGAGGACGUCAGAGGAAGGUGGAAUUCCCAGUGUAGCGGUGAAAUGCGUAGAUAUUGGGAGGAACACCAGUGGCGAAAGCGACCUUCUGGGACGUUCCUGACGCUGAGGUUCGAAAGCUCGGGGAGCAAACAGG